AUGCAGGGUUGGACCAGCUAUUGAGAUACUAACAGAGGCCUAUACAUCCAGAACCCAGGUCUCACAGACUGUAUUUACUGUCACCAUCACCGAGAACAUUGAGAGAUGGCUCUGGAAAGUGUUCCAGACCCCCCUGACCCGGCAGGGUCACCAGAGGACUGGGUCCAGUGGGCUGUGCAGCGCCUGCAGAUGGAGCCCUGGGCGUUGGGGGGUAUUGUGGUCAUAGGGCUGUUCCUGCUGAUGAUCCUGGCCCUGGUGGUCUUCGCUCUAAUAUAUGGCUGUUGCUGCUCACCUGGAGGGGGGAAGAGGAGAAUGAAGAAGGGGGUGCUUUAGAGAAGUGGGUCCCACUCUCCAUGACUGUUCUACGGCCAUUGAGAUUUUCUCUACCCCCUUACGUCUACGAUGACUUUUCCAAAAGAAAAGACUGUGCAAAAAAAGCUUCCAGACCCAAGCAUUAUUAAUGGGACCAUCAUUUAAACAAACACUCUGAGGAAUGUCUGAAUUGGCAAAUAAUUCGAUCCAAGUCAAGAUAAUAACGUUCAUAAAUUGAUUUGCGUAAUUUGAUUAUGAAAUUGUGCUGUUUGAUUAUCAUUAAAUGUUGAAACUUUAAAUGAAUCCUUUCAAUAAAAAACUAUAUGCAUGCGCAUAUCAUUAGCGAUGCUGAAAGUGCCGUCGUCGUGUAUAGCAGAGCCAGAAUGAGUCACAAGAUGGCGGGUGUGCCAGAAUGGACUUGGAGAUGGAGUCAUUGAGGAUGGAAAGGAGGAGCGGGCAGGAGGGGGAAAAGGAAGAAAGUGGAACAUAUUAAGAGUAAAUAUAGAGUUCUGCAGAAGGAAAUUGAAGAUGAAUUAACUGCGGUGUCAGGUGCGGUAAAGAACACAGAGUUUAAGCCUUGUCACGAUUGUGUUUUUUUGCCCAGUAGGAGUGAGAUUUUUUGGAGACAAUGGAUCCUUGCCUUCUGGCUGACCCAUAUGUGGUAUCAGGUUGGGUGGAGAAGAGGUUGGGGAAUGUUGGGUUGGUGAAAGUGACUUUCUCGUGUCUCCGCCGUCAAGGGGGAGCGUGCACUCUACACCACGGGUCUGGGGACUGUGACAUGCUUUCCUCUCUGGAGCAGGGCGUCUUUGAAAGGAGUGAUAACUGGUAUGGCGUUAAGUGUUGAUGAGGGUCAACUGAAGUUGAAGAUUCCCUGUGUCUGUGACGCCUGCCAUUUGAUGUGACGCAGACCCAGUGUAGAGCGUGGUGAAACAGAGAAGACACUGUACUAUUGAUGCAGAGUUUUUA
rnacentral:lncRNA from 1 species